rnacentral:rRNA from 1 species
UACGAAGGGGGCUAGCGUUGCUCGGAAUCACUGGGCGUAAAGGGUGCGUAGGCGGGUCUUUAAGUCAGGGGUGAAAUCCUGGAGCUCAACUCCAGAACUGCCUUUGAUACUGAGGAUCUUGAGUCCGGGAGAGGUGAGUGGAACUGCGAGUGUAGAGGUGAAAUUCGUAGAGAUUGGGUGGAACACCAGUGGCGAAGGCGCCUGUCUGGCUGACAACUGACGCUGAGACUCGAAAGCAUGGGGAGCAAACAGG